AGGACUGCUUGUAACUGAACGCAAGAAAUGGAGCUAGAAUGAUUCCUUGCCUACAAUAAAAUACAAAAUGGGCUAUUUACUAAAAGGAGAAUUGUUGAGAAUUCAAAGUAUGGAUAUAUGGACGCAUCAAUAGUUUGACCCUUUUAAAAAAUUUUUUUAAAGACAAAGCGAUGAUCUGUAACAUUCCAUUGGUUUUCAGUGUGGGUUACAUCUUUUGGCAAAGGGUCAGCUCUCUUCCUGUAAAGAGAGAUCUAAUGUUUAAACCUCUUUAAUUGCACAGUCUAUUUAAUUUAGAAUGUAUCUCCUGUUCUGUUAAUAGACUUCUAGACAGCAACAACGUCCUGAAUGAUUAAAGUUAAAUUUUCAGAGUAGGAGAUAACUUCUAAAGCCUCUCUGAUAUUGACUUCUAGUGGCAUAGGCUGAUUAAUCGCUAGUGACAUAAUUUGUGUAUUCUUGGCAAUCACUUUAUCAGCAUUUUCUUAUAUUUAGUUUUUUUCACUGUUCGUACCCAGUGGCACUUUAGUUUAUUUUGGCGGCUUUGAUUUAGCCUGUUCCAAUUAACCUAAAAGAUGCAGAUGUAUAUUGCUUCACUCAUGUGUGUCUACAUUUACCACAAUUACUAGCCGCUUAUAGCUGGCGUACUCUGUGAGCACCUAGUAUGACCUUAUUCUGUGUUUAACUUGGCACGCCGCAUGAUAUGUAUGUCUUUGGCUACUAUGUCAUUGCCAUGCUUUGCUUUUAACACCUGCACAACAAAAAUAAAGAAUUAAAACAAAAC